rnacentral:lncRNA from 1 species
CCUAAAUACAGUGUCAUGGAGAUAGUCGUUUUAUGGGCUGCUGCGGAAGAAAAUGUCUUCAGAAUCUUGAGCAAAUCGAUUGCAGGAUACUUCGAGAGAAAAGCCAGUAUAUACUUCUCACAGAGAGUAGCUACAUUAAUAAUUUUAGAUUAUCAAAAGAUGCAUUUCGGACUUUGUAUCAUGACUUAGGACCAUAUCUGGAGGUCCAAUGCUCUACAACUGUGCAAUCGACUUUAAGUGACAAAUGCCCUCAAUCAGCCUGCAAUCGUGAGAUAAUAUAUCAAGUUUCCUCGGACAAAAACUGAGCAUGUAGAAGUCUCCAGAGGUUUUAAUGACAAAUUUGGAUUUCUUGGAGUACUUGGAUGCAUCCACGGCACACACAUUGCCAUUAUCCAACCUCACAAGUGGGAAGAGGCCUUCUUCAAUAGCAAGUAUUACCAUUCAUUGCAUGUUAUGUUGGUUUGUGAUGGAGAUAUGUGCAUUACAUUUGUGAUGCAUCCAAUGGGAGUGUUAGUGCUAGACUGCUCCUCCAGAAGGAACAUCUCCUUAAUUUAAAUAUGUUUAAGUUCAUUAAGUGGACUUGUGUGGUCCUUAAAAUGUAAAUUACAAAGUCAGUGUGGUGUAAUCAAAAGUGGCAGAUUUGUUAUUCAAUAAUACAACAAACCUUUCUUUAUUGGCAUCAAAUAAACUAUUUUCAUUACGCAGAUUUAUUUAUUUUGUGUUAUUACAUAAUUUGUUUCAUUGCACCCCUCUCAUUAACCAACCUAUCUCUCAAGUAGAUACAUUUUUCUAAUCUUGUGUCCAUUAUGCUUAAUAAAGUAGUUUAUCCAUCUAUCUUUAACUUGUAAUAAAUAAAUCCAUUUAUUUUGUAUAAAUACAAGCUUGCGGGGCCUUAUUGGACUAGACUAUUUGUAAUGUGUAAUAGUAUAGUCAAAAAAGC